UACGUAGGGUGCAAGCGUUGUCCGGAAUUAUUGGGCGUAAAGAGCGUGUAGGCGGCCCUGUAAGUCCGCUGUGAAAGUCCAGGGCUCAACCCUGGGAUGCCGGUGGAUACUGUCGGGCUCGAGUCCGGAAGAGGAGUGUGGAAUUCCUGGUGUAGCGGUGAAAUGCGCAGAUAUCAGGAGGAACACCAAUUGCGAAGGCAGCUCGCUGGGACGUUACUGACGCUGAGACGCGAAAGCGUGGGGAGCAAACAGG
rnacentral:rRNA from 1 species